rnacentral:rRNA from 1 species
AAUAGAUACCCCCGGUAGUCCACCCCCGUAAACGUUGGGAACUAGUUGUGGGGUCCUUUCCACGGAUUCCGUGACGCAGCUAACGCAUUAAGUUCCCCGCCUGGGGAGUACGGCCGCAAGGCUAAAAACUCAAAGGAAUUGACGGGGACCCGCACAAGCUGCGGAGCAUGCGGAUUAAUUCGAUGCAACGCGAAGAACCUUACCAAGGCUUGACAUACACCAGAACACCCUAGAAAUAGGGGACUCUUUGGACACUGGUGAACAGGUGGUGCAUGGUUGUCGUCAGCUCGUGUCGUGAGAUGUUGGGUUAAGUCCCGCAACGAGCGCAACCCUCGUUCUAUGUUGCCAGCACGUAAUGGUGGGAACUCAUGGGAUACUGCCGGGGUCAACUCGGAGGAAGGUGGGGAUGACGUCAAAUCAUCAUGCCCCUUAUGUCUUGGGCUUCACGCAUGCUACAAUGGCCGGUACAAAGGGCUGCAAUACCGUGAGGUGGAGCGAAUCCCAAAAGCCGGUCCAGUUCGGAUUGAGGUCUGCAACUCGA